CGCUCAGAUUCUGCGGACGUGUAGCUUGGUAACAUCAGGAGGCUGCUGAGUAAUUCAGUGGCUCUCAGUGGGAGAGAACCAAAGCCGAGAUGGUAUUUGAGUUGUCACCAUGAUAUCAGAAGGCAGAAGUAAGCAGGGAUACCAGAUACCUGCAAGGAUGAUAAAGAACUCAGAAACCUUGAGUCAUAAGGAG